rnacentral:rRNA from 1 species
CAUAUGCUAGAAUCCUGCAGAGAUGCGGGAGUGCCUUCGGGAGUUAGAAUGCAGGUGCGUGCAUGGCUGUCGUCAGCUCGUGUCGUGAGAUGUUGGGUUAAGUCCCGCAACGAGCGCAACCCUUGUCCUUAGUUACCAGCGGGUUAAGCCGGGAACUCUAAGGAUACUGCCAGUGACAAACUGGAGGAAGGCGGGGACGACGUCAAGUCAUCAUGGCCCUUACGACCAGGGCUACACACGUGCUACAAUGGUAGGUACAGAGGGCAGCUACACAGCGAUGUGAUGCGAAUCUCAAAAAGCCAAUCGUAGUCCAGAUUGGAGUGUGCAACUCGACUCCAUGAAGUAGAGAUCGCUA